ACCUUGAUGGUAUUUUAGAAGAGGAAGAAAAUCCAUCUCUGCAGAGUCACUGGAGACUUUGGCUAUUACUAAUUGAUUCUACACGGAGAGCACACAGUGGGGACAGCCUUCAGUCUGAAGCGCAUCAAAAAAAAGUCUUGCUGACCCUGAAGAGGCUUUCCGGAUAUUUAGGGCUUGGCUGCCCUUCCUUAGUGGAUGGAUGAGCCGGUGGUCAUCAUCAACCAUUCUGGAGGCUACGUUUAGCCUUAAAACUGAAGGGCUUUCCUAAACACGGAACAGGCUCAGAGAGAGAGGAGGUGAUACACAAUCUUUGUUUGCCACUUCCAACACCAAGGGCACUGGAAGUGGAUGUCACCCAAGGAAGUGACCGAUCUCAGCAGUGUUCUGGCUGUGCUGCUUUGUCCAAGAUGACUUGUGGUGCUACAACACACAGGGUAGGUGAGGAGGGUCCUUGCUGAAGGAUGUGUCCCACAAGUUGAUGCUUCUACUGUUAGAGAGAACGGAUGCACAGAAAAAGCUAUAUUAAGUAUUUAGAAGUCAACAGAAAAAUCUAGGCAAUUCCUCUGAUUCCUCCAUUUAUGGUAAACUCAGAAAAAGUGGAAAGAUGUGCUGAGAGAGAAUGAUCUAAAAUAAAGAUGCAUGCUUAAAUUUUAAUUCUGUUAAA
rnacentral:lncRNA from 1 species